GUCAUAUGGAUUAGGGUAUCUUAUAUUAGGAUUCUUUGCAGUAUUAUGUUUCCAAGAAGUGUAUGCUUCUCAACCCGGACCGUGUCGAACAUUGCGGCAGACUUUCCCUGAAAGUAAAAUCAAGGGGAAAAUGUUGCAUCGUUCCAUGUUUUUAGAUGUGUUUAAGGAAAAAAAGAAGGAACAGAAUAAACUUUCUACGUGCUUUCCCAGUCAAUUUCCACUAUUACGAAUGAAGGAAUAUACGGUUAUAGGAACAGACAAUAAGGAUUUUGUGGUUUACUACAAAUGCAACUAUUUUACGGUGUCCAAGGAUCACAUAGAAUUAGUUAAUGUCUAUACGAGGGAAGCUAAACCAAGCCAGGGUGUGUUGACUGGAAUUUCCGAGGCUUUUUCGAAAAAUGGCCUGGAUGAAAGUAAAGUAUUAUCCUUUUGUUAAACUGACCCUAAUCCUGUGAAAGUUAAUAGAAGAAAAAAUUUUAUAAAACUAUAUAAAAUUUAUGUAAUAAACCACUCAUUUUUGAACCCAGUGUACCCAGACAUUGUUCGUCCCAGUGUAAUAAGGACAUUUCUCUAUCACCUCACUGUUUCUCCAUCUCCUGUUUUUUUCCUUGUCAUAAAAAUAUGCGACAUUUCGUUUUUAUCGCUUUUGAAAAACUUUAUUCCUCGCUCUUUGGUGUUCAAUUUCCCCUUGUUCUUUCCACUUGUUCAGUCUUUUUAUUAUUUUGUCGCUUUCUUCUGUUUCCAUAUUUUUUGUAUUUUUUAUUUUAUUUACAAUGGCAAUUUUCUUUGUUUUAAACAAGCAGCGCAUUGCUUUUUAUUUGUGACAUUCGAUUGGCGAUUGGAAAGCGUCCGAUUGGCUGCGAUUUCUGGGCAUCUAUGGUGGGGCAUGAUACAGUGGUAUAUUCUAUUUUAAAAAUGUUAGAUAAAAAUAUAA